rnacentral:rRNA from 1 species
ACUCCUACGGGAGGCAGCAGUGGGGAAUUUUGGACAAUGGGCGAAAGCCUGAUCCAGCCAUGCCGCGUGCAGGAUGAAGGCCUUCGGGUUGUAAACUGCUUUUGUACGGAACGAAACGGCCUUUUCUAAUAAAGAGGGCUAAUGACGGUACCGUAAGAAUAAGCACCGGCUAACUACGUGCCAGCAGCCGCGGUAAUACGUAGGGUGCAAGCGUUAAUCGGAAUUACUGGGCGUAAAGCGUGCGCAGGCGGUUAUGUAAGACAGUUGUGAAAUCCCCGGGCUCAACCUGGGAACUGCAUCUGUGACUGCAUAGCUAGAGUACGGUAGAGGGGGAUGGAAUUCCGCGUGUAGCAGUGAAAUGCGUAGAUAUGCGGAGGAACACCGAUGGCGAAGGCAAUCCCCUGGACCUGUACUAACGCUCAUGCACGAAAGCGUGGGGAGCAAACAGGAUUAGAAACCCUGGUAGUCCCAU